rnacentral:rRNA from 1 species
GUAGGUGAACUGCGGAAGGUCAUUGUCGAGAGCCCUAAAAGUCCAUGCGACUGUGAAAAACCGUGCGAGGAUGGGUGCGAAACUGAUGCCCUGCUCUGUCUCCAACCAGUGUGGGCGCUUUCGUGGGGAGCGGUCCAUGUGGCGGUGGGAAAACCAGGAUGUGGGCGAAGUUACGCGCCAAGGGACGAGUGAAUGUUGUUUUUGCGACGUCGCCGGCCGUGGAACCAGAAUGGGUUGGCGAGGCGUGACACGUGUAAUCGAUCAAAGGACUCUCGGCAACGGAUAUCUUGGCUCUCGCAUCGAUGAAGAACGCAGCGAAAUGCGAUAUGUGUUGUGAAUUGCAGAAUCCCGUGAACCAUCCAGUCUUUGAACGCAAGUCGCGCCCGAGGAUGCAAGCCGAGGGCACGCCUGCAUGGGUGUGAUGCAUUGUAUGUUUGCUCCUUGCAGAUGUUCGAACCCGCCUUUAGGGUUCCUCGGGAUUUGUUUGGAGGCGAGCAGUGGCUCCCCGUGCUGCAGCAUGGUGGGUUGAAGCGCGGGUCGAUGAUCGGCUGGUGACGUUAUUGGAGGUGGACGACGCAUGCUGUCGCGCAAGCGGCCAUAAGGACAUUCCGUUGCAGCCUUCCGCUUGUAUGACCCUUGCAAAACCAACUCCACGCACCUUUUUGUGGAUCGUGACCCCAUGUCAGGCGAGCUACCCCC